GAUGAACGCUGGCGGCGUGCCUAAUACAUGCAAGUCGAGCGAACGGACGAGAAGCUUGCUUCUCUGAUGUUAGCGGCGGACGGGUGAGUAACACGUGGAUAACCUACCUAUAAGACUGGGAUAACUUCGGGAAACCGGAGCUAAUACCGGAUGAUAUUUUAACCGCAUGGUUCAAAAGUGAAAGACGGUCUUGCUGUCACUUAUAGAUGGAUCCGCGCUGCAUUAGCUAGUUGGUAAGGUAACGGCUUACCAAGGCAACGAUGCAUAGCCGACCUGAGAGGGUGAUCGGCCACACUGGAACUGAGACACGGUCCAGACUCCUACGGGAGGCAGCAGUAGGGAAUCUUCCGCAAUGGGCGAAAGCCUGACGGAGCAACGCCGCGUGAGUGAUGAAGGUCUUCGGAUCGUAAAACUCUGUUAUUAGGGAAGAACAUAUGUGUAAGUAACUGUGCACAUCUUGACGGUACCUAAUCAGAAAGCCACGGCUAACUACGUG
rnacentral:rRNA from 1 species